AGACUGCACUAUCAUUGUCACAAAAAUAAGACAACGUCAUCGUUUUUAUUAUUGGGAAUAAAAGAGUGGGUUGCGAGAUUCAAUAACCUGCAAUGCAAAAUUUCGAAAACACAAUUUUCUUGCAGAUUUAGCAGUAGAAAAGUCAUACAUAUAACAUGGCUGAUUCUUUGUAACAACAACACCCUAGAAAAAUUAUCAGAGGAAAACUAAUCAUUUCCAUUGAAAAGAAAACUACUGACUGGAGGACAUUGAAGAAAUUUUAGUUCUUGAAUAAAGCUUCACUAAACUACGUUUACAACGUUACAACUAAGAGUUCAGAUUAUGGCGUGUCACAUAUUGAGUAAUGCUGGAUAAUUAAGGAAGUGGCAAUAUAGCUUAAGAUAUAGAAGUUAAGCAGCUCCAAUCGAUAGUGCU